UACAGAGGGAGCUAGCGUUGUUCGGAAUUACUGGGCGUAAAGCGCACGUAGGCGGCUUUUCAAGUCAGGGGUGAAAUCCCGGGGCUCAACCCCGGAACUGCCCUUGAAACUGGACGGCUAGAAUCUUGGAGAGGCGAGUGGAAUUCCGAGUGUAGAGGUGAAAUUCGUAGAUAUUCGGAAGAACACCAGUGGCGAAGGCGACUCGCUGGACAAGUAUUGACGCUGAGGUGCGAAAGCGUGGGGAGCAAACAGG
rnacentral:rRNA from 1 species